rnacentral:lncRNA from 1 species
GCCCAGAUAUCCCCAUUGCCUUUAUCUAAUAUUGCUUUUCAGUGAGUGAUGUCUAACUUGAAUAUGGAGGCCUAGUGCACUGGUUCAAGAAGAGUCCAGUAAAAAGUAUAAACACACAUCAAGCCUUAGACUGUCCUUUGGGCUGCAUACUCAUGCCUACACUUCAGAAGCUUCCAGAGUUUUUCAGUUUUCAUUAUCUUUACAUCUCUGAUUAGGGACUUGUGGUUCUACAAAGCACGGAGUGCUUCUGUCUGCAUACCAAGAGCCCUCAGCUCCUCCUGAUUUCAAACACUCGGGGGAGGUUAGGAUUGCUUUGUUUGCCCUGCCAAAGAGUACAUGCUGUAACAAGUGAAUGUGGGCAUAAGUGGUGUGCCACAAACUUCACUCCGUGCCACUUAAGGAAGGACGGGGAGAACUGGAUAUCCGCCAGCCCGUAUAAAGAAUUCUCCAUAUUCCCUAGCCAGAGGUUUUAUCCAGCUGAGUUCAGUGAUAGACAUUCACCCAUCGGCAAACACAGCUGCUUCUGAAAUCGUGCUUGACUGGAAUAUAUCCCUGAGAGCAAUCUUUACAUGACAGAUUUGCCUUCAGACCCAUCACGGUUAUCACAGCUGUGCAGAGAACUCGGCUUACCCAGGAGCUCAAGCUGGCAGGGCCUGUUUUCUGAAGAUGGAG